rnacentral:lncRNA from 1 species
CAAGAAAUCCAAACAUCACUCGGUGUUUUGCAGUUUUCUGAAGAUUCCACCAUUGGAUCGCAACGAAAUUUCACAUGGUAGUGGUAGACAAAAUUCCGCACAAUAUAACCGAAGGGAUCAGCGAAAUCUUUCUUGAGGAAGCGGGAAACAUGUGAACAAGUAGGACAUUUGUGCUGUCUGGCAGGUUUGCAAGAAAUUCAAACAACACUCGGUGUUUUGAAGUUUUCUGAGGAUUCCACCGUUGGAUCGUCAGGAAAUUUGACACUGUGGAAGUAGACACAAUUCUGCACAGUUCCACCGAAGGGAUCGUCAAAAUAAUGCUUGAAUCAACGGGAAACAUGCGAACAAGUCAGCCAUUUGUGCUGUGACGCACGGCCGCGAGUAAUCCGAACAACACUUGGUGUUUUCAAUUUGGCCAGAGCUUUCACCGUUGGAUGGAGAUAAAAUUUAACAGCGUCGUAGUAGACACAAUUCUUCACAAUCUCACCAGAUGGAUCGUUGAAAUAAUACUUGAGUCAUAAGACACCUUGCGAGAGAGAAAGGAGGUAGGAGAAAGAAAAAGAUUAGGCGACCGGAGAGCAAAAGAAAAAGAAAAAAAAUCGUGAAAAGACCUUGUAAUUGAAUUAGGCCUCACAUACCAUAUAUGAUUUGAGUUGCGUAAAUCCAAAGAAGACCUUGUAAUUCAAAAUAUUCACACCUUCAUCGAGAUUUGCAUCGGCU